AGAAAAGCCCGCGCCAGAGCGGAGGAGUCCGUGCCAGAGCAGAGCGGACGUGCCAGAGCAGAGCGAAAAUGCCAUAGUCACAGCAGAACAUCUCCAAAGCUGAACUUCACUAUCAGAGCUAAAUUCUCCAGAGCAGAACAAACUUAUCAGAGCAGAGCUAAGACUCGACAGAGCUAAAGUUCCAGAUCUGAACAUUCCAGAGCCGAUCUUAUCCAGAGUGUACAAUUUCCAGAGCUGACUUUACGCGCUAGAGUCAACAUAUUUCUUCAGAGUCAACACAAUUCCAGAGCUGACUUUAUCUCCAGAGCUGAAUGUUCCAGAGCAGACUACCACUCUACAGAGCUGAACUAACCAGAGCAUACUUUACUCGCCAGAGCUGACUACUUAUCCAGAGCUGACUUCCAGCUCUGCCAUGACCGCCAGAGUUAGCAAAUUUUCGCCAGAGCUGCCGUUACUUGCAGAGCACGCUGUGAGCUGGACUUUCCUUCCCUGUUACGAUUCUAUUUCCUUAAGACAUGUUUGCUGGGCUGAUUUUGAUGGUAAUUAGGGUUGAAAGGAAGUCUAUAAAAAGGGGCUUGAACGUAAAUCAAGAAAUACAUCUUUUGCCUCCGGUACUUAGUUAAUUCCUUUAGCCUUUGGAACAAGAUUAGCUUCGACCUUAGGCAAUCAAAACAAUCUUUAGUUUAAUUCUCGUUUUAGAUAACUCUUUAGUUUCGAGUUUUAGAUAGUUCUUAGUUAGCUUUCAAUUCAAGUUUUAGUUUAGUUCUUCG
rnacentral:lncRNA from 1 species